rnacentral:rRNA from 1 species
GACGAACGCUGGCGGCGUGCCUAAUACAUGCAAGUAGAACGCUGAAGGAGGAGCUUGCUCUUCUGGAUGAGUUGCGAACGGGUGAGUAACGCGUAGGUAACCUGCCUGGUAGCGGGGGAUAACUAUUGGAAACGAUAGCUAAUACCGCAUAAGAGUAGAUGUUGCAUGACAUUUACUUAAAAGGUGCAAUUGCCUCACUACCAGAUGGACCUGCGUUGUAUUAGCUAGUUGGUGGGGUAACGGCUUACCAAGGCGACGAUACAUAGCCGACCUGGGAGGGUGAUCGGCCACACUGGGACUGAGAAACCGCCCAGACUCCUACGGGAGGCAGCAGUAGGGAAUCUUCGGCAAUGGACGGAAGUCUGACCGAGCAACGCCGCGGGAGUGAAGAAGGUUUUCGGAUCGUAAAGCUCUGUUGUAAGAGAAGAACGAGUGUGAGAGUGGAAAGUUCACACUGUGACGGUACCUUACCAGAAAGGGACGGCUAACUACGUG